rnacentral:rRNA from 1 species
UACGAAGGGGGCUAGCGUUGUUCGGAUUUACUGGGCGUAAAGCGCACGUAGGCGGAUCGUUAAGUCGGGGGUGAAAUCCUGGAGCUCAACCCCAGAACUGCCUUCGAUACUGGCGAUCUUGAGUCCGGAAGAGGUGAGUGGAACUCCUAGUGUAGAGGUGGAAUUCGUAGAUAUUAGGAAGAACAUCAGUGGCGAAGGCGGCUCACUGGUCCGGUACUGACGCUGAGGUGCGAAAGCGUGGGGAGCAAACAGG